rnacentral:rRNA from 1 species
UACGGAGGGGGCGAGCGUUGUUCGGAGUUACUGGGCGUAAAGGGCGCGUAGGCGGCGCUCCAAGUUAGGCGUGAAAGCCCCGGGCUCAACCUGGGAAUAGCGCUUAAGACUGGAGUGCUCGAGUGCGGAAGAGGUGAGUGGAAUUCCCAGUGUAGAGGUGAAAUUCGUAGAUAUUGGGAAGAACACCAGUGGCGAAGGCGGCUCACUGGUCCGCAACUGACGCUGAGGCGCGAAAGCGUGGGGAGCAAACAGG